GCCUGGCAUCCUUAGCUCAGCAGGUAGAGCAUCGGUUUUGCAUGUGGAAGGUGCCAGGUUCAAGUCCUGGCAUUUCCAGGUG